CCUACGGGAGGCUGCAGUGAGGAAUAUUGGUCAAUGGGCGGGAGCCUGAACCAGCCAAGUCGCGUGAGGGAAGACGGUCCUAUGGAUUGUAAACCUCUUUAGGCGGGGAGCAAUGCCGGGCACGCGUGCCCGGAGGGAGAGUACCCGCAGAAUAAGCAUCGGCCAACUCAGUGCCAGCAGCCGCGGUAAUACGGAGGAUGCGAGCGUUAUCCGGAUUGAUUGGGUUUAAAGGGUGCGUAGGCGGAUUUUUAAGUCAGCGGUAAAAUGUCCGGGCUCAACCCGGGCCGGCCGUUGAAACUGGGGAUCUUGAGUGGGCGAGAAGUAUGCGGAAUGCGUGGUGUAGCGGUGAAAUGCAUAGAUAUCACGCAGAACUCCGAUUGCGAAGGCAGCAUACCGGCGCCCGACUGACGCUGAGGCACGAAAGCGUGGGGAUCGAACAGGAUUAGAUACCCCAGUAGUC
rnacentral:rRNA from 1 species